GAUGAACGCUGGCGGCGUGCCUAAUACAUGCAAGUCGAGCGAACAGAUAAGGAGCUUGCUCCUUUGACGUUAGCGGCGGACGGGUGAGUAACACGUGGGUAACCUACCUAUAAGACUGGGAUAACUUCGGGAAACCGGAGCUAAUACCGGAUAAUAUUUCGAACCGCAUGGUUCGAUAGUGAAAGAUGGUUUUGCUAUCACUUAUAGAUGGACCCGCGCCGUAUUAGCUAGUUGGUAGGUAACGGCUUACCAAGGCGACGAUACGUAGCCGACCUGAGAGGGUGAUCGGCCACACUGGAACUGAGACACGGUCCAGACUCCUACGGGAGGCAGCAGUAGGGAAUCUUCCGCAAAGGGCGAAAGCCUGACGGAGCAACGCCGCGUGAGUGAUGAAGGUCUUCGGAUCGUAAAACUCUGUUAUUAGGGAAGAACAUACGUGUAAGUAACUGUGCACGUCUUGACGGUACCUAAUCAGAAAGCCACGGCUAACUACGUG
rnacentral:rRNA from 1 species